rnacentral:rRNA from 1 species
GCUUUGCUCGGAUUUCUCCACGAACGGGCCAGUAACACGUGAGCAACCUGCCCUGCACUCUGGGAUAAGCGCUGCAAACGGCGUCUAAUACUGGAUAUGAGCUCUCAUCCAAUGGUGGGGGUUGGAAAGAUUUUUUGGUCUGGGAUGGGCUCGCGGCCUAUCAGCUUGUUGGUGAGGUAAUGGCUCACCAAGGCGUCGACGGGUAGCCGGCCUGAGAGGGUGACCGGCCACACUGGGACUGAGACACGGCCCAGACUCCUACGGGAGGCAGCAGUGGGGAAUAUUGCACAAUGGGCGGAAGCCUGAUGCAGCAACGCCGCGUGAGGGAUGACGGCCUUCGGGUUGUAAACCUCUUUUAGCAGGGAAGAAGCGAGAGUGACGGUACCUGCAGAAAAAGCGCCGGCUAACUACGUGCCAGCAGCCGCGGUAAUACGUAGGGCGCAAGCGUUAUCCGGAAUUAUUGGGCGUAAAGAGCUCGUAGGCGGUUUGUCGCGUCUGCUGUGAAAUCCCGAGGCUCAACCUCGGGCCUGCAGUGGGUACGGGCAGACUAGAGUGCGGUAGGGGAGAUUGGAAUUCCUGGUGUAGCGGUGGAAUGCGCAGAUAUCAGGAGGAACACCGAUGGCGAAGGCAGAUCUCUGGGCCGUAACUGACGCUGAGGAGCUAAAGGGUGGGGAG